GACGAACGCUGGCGGCGUGCUUAACACAUGCAGGUCGAACGGAAAGGCCCUGCUUUUGUGGGGUGCUCGAGUGGCGAACGGGUGAGUAACACGUGAGUAACCUGUCCUUGACUUUGGGAUAACUUCAGGAAACUGGGGCUAAUACCGGAUAGGAGCUCCUGCUGCAUGGUGGGGGUUGGAAAGUUUCGGCGGUUGGGGAUGGACUCGCGGCUUAUCAGCUUGUUGGUGGGGUAGUGGCUUACCAAGGCUUUGACGGGUAGCCGGCCUGAGAGGGUGACCGGCCACAUUGGGACUGAGAUACGGCACAGACUCCUACGGGAGGCAGCAGUGGAGAAUAUUACACAAUGGGCGGAAGCCUGAUGCAGCAAAGCCGCGUGCGGGAUGACAGGCUUCGGGUUGUGAACCGCAUCCGCCUGUGACGAAGCGUGAGUGACGGUAAUGGGUGAAGAAGCACCGGCUAACUACGUG
rnacentral:rRNA from 1 species